rnacentral:rRNA from 1 species
AACGAACGCUGGCGGCAUGCCUAACACAUGCAAGUCGAACGAGACCUUCGGGUCUAGUGGCGCACGGGUGCGUAACGCGUGGGAACCUGCCCUUAGGUUCGGAAUAACUCCCCGAAAGGGGUGCUAAUACCGGAUAAUGUCUUCGGACCAAAGAUUUAUCGCCUUUGGAUGGGCCCGCGUUGGAUUAGCUAGUUGGUAGGGUAAAAGCCUACCAAGGCGACGAUCCAUAGCUGGUCUGAGAGGAUGAUCAGCCACACUGGGACUGAGACACGGCCCAGACUCCUACGGGAGGGAGCAGUGGGGAAUAUUGGACAAUGGGCGAAAGCCUAAUCCAGCAAUGCCGCGUGAGUGAUGAAGGCCUUAGGGUUGUAAAGCUCUUUUACACGGGAUGAUAAUGACAGUACCGGGAGAAUAAGCUCCGGCUAACUCCGUG